AUCUGUCAUGCUGAGGUAUGCAGACCAGAGUCCUGGGUUCAACUCUGUUGUGACUUUCUUGCAUCUGAUCUUUCAAGGACAUCUGCACUGAAGCCCUUCCUCGAUCCUCCUUUACACAUGGCCAGACUCAGUUUCAGCAACACAGAAGGCUGAAGGAAUCGAAUCCAUCUAUUCACAUAUGGUAUACACUUACUGAAAAUCUGUACUCAGAAACGUGCCUCCCAUCUCACUCUGAAUGGAUUUUCUGUUGAAAUGCCUCCAAGACAACAAAACGCUGCCAUUGAAGCUUUAGACAAAAAAUAAAAGAAGGAGCCACCAAAA